rnacentral:lncRNA from 1 species
AUAAUAUUCCAUUCAAUAAUUCAAUCCAAAAUUACAAAGAAAUCACAAGUUACAAACCAAUGUCCUGUUACAAAGUUACAUGAAGCAAGAUUAUAUAACACUUUUUUUUUUCAUCCUUCAUGCCAUGCCUAACCUUCACAUUGCCAAAAGCUUAAGUGUUCAAUCCUUACCUGCACAAACAAGCCACCAUUAGUAAAACUAUCCACAUUUAAAUCCAAGCAUACAAACAUUCCAUAUAUAAUUCAUUGCACUUCCAAGUUGAUCCAACACUUACCAAUCUAACAUGGCAUAACACUAACAUCUAUCCAUUUUGUUAAUCCCAAUUUAAGUAACUAAUAACAAUUGCCAAGAGUUUCCAUGUUGAUUUUAGAAAUAAUUAUCACUUAAUUCUGAAUUAACUCCACAACCUUUUAACAUAACAUUCAAUUCAGCUUAUACUGCAGCUAAUAGUGGUUUUGCACAACAGAAUUCCAACACAUUUCAAACUAAUGCAAAAAAUAACAAUCAAACAUUCGGGCACAGUGUAUUGAACUAAUGACAACAAGAAUCAGUUAACUCCCUCCACCUGUCAUGUUUCCAGAAUAAAACAGACCUAUAAUCCGACUUCUAACAAUUUCUAUAUUUAACUCUUUUACUAACAGUAAGUGUUGCUAACACACAAUUAAUUUUAGUAACAAUUGAGUAUUUAGCAUAAAGGACUGAUUACAGAACAACUACCUUGCUAAUUUAUUCUUGUUGGAGUACGAUCGCCGUCGUAUUUGUUGUAACAGCUCAAGCUCCAAUUUACCUGUGAUUGAGGAAAAUACCAUCAGUAUAAGUGUAAGUUCGACAUGCCGCCAAAUCACUAACUCACUGCAGGAUAAAAUAACCCACUUAACAACCCUGCACAUUCGUUAAUGGAUAAAGUCAAGUACCACUGUGAACGGAAGUAAUGCAUUACAGAGAAUCGAAACUCACUAACUAACUGUGUUCACCCACCUCUUAACUAUUACUAAUCAGAAAUAACCAAGAUUCUAACAAAACCGUAAUUCUAACAGAUUCACUGCUAACGGAAACUUCAGAAAUUCAUAACAAAGCGCAAUAUAAUUACUAACUAGCCUUUUCAACAGCCUGUCAUACAACUUCAAUAGAAAUUAAAAUAACAGAACAGCAUCUUUCAGAAGUUAAUAAAUAUAACAUGAUUAACAAGUUUCACAAAACUGAGAUCCUCUGAAUACACCAAGGCAGGCAAGAUUUCAAUCAAAUUCACUUUCAUUCAAUGAGCUUCGUAACUAACUAAAUAAUUGAAUACAAUUAACACUAACCAACUUUUACCUCAACCUGCAAAAACAUUAGGUGCCCUAACAGAAACUGAAUUAGCAUAUAACUAACCCUAACAGAAACUGAAUUAGCAUAUAACUAACCCUAACAGGUAACUGACCUGCCCGAUUCGGUUAUAAACUAUCCUAUAUAACAGAGCCACCUUGUUCAGUUUCAGAGUUUCUACACAUACCUCAAUCUGCAAAGCGUUGGAGUCCUCACUCUCCAUCGAUCCUUCAUUCUCCAUUUUCAAAUCUACAACUUCUUCUCAACUCUUCAAUUUGCAGUCUUCAAUCUUCAUCUUCUUCACCAAUCUUUUCCUUCUUCUCCACCACCUUCAUUCAAACUCACAUAUGGAAUCAUCUUCUUUCUGUUUCACACUUUGCUCACCUUCAUCCUGUCAUCCUAAUUCGUGC